ensembl:lncRNA
CCAGAAGCCAGGUGAAUACAGCACAGCAGCUGGUGUGUGGAAACGGCAGUUCCCACUGGCGUCUGCUUUGCUCCUCCACGCGGCCCCACCUGGACAUCCUUACUGGGCUGUGUUCCAGUCUCCAGGAAACCAGGUAUUGAGGGAAUGGGCCAGCUGUGUGCAAUGAGGAGACCCCCUCUCACCCUGGCCGGCUGCACACACGCCUACGAGGACGGCGCGGAACCCCUCAUUUGCACCCGCACAACUGCUGCGUAGGCUCCGUGGCCCGAACAGAGAAAGAGGCGGGUUGUGCUGCCAUCUGGCGUCCACACGAGAUAUCUCCUAGAAUAUCACAUGCAUGCUUUAAAGCUUCAAGAACCUCCGAAAUUUCCUCUUUUCUAUCACUAAAGGUUUUUAAGUCUAGUAAAUUAAACUUCAGGAAAUAAAAUGAAC